rnacentral:rRNA from 1 species
GCAAGUCGAGCGGUAACAUUUCUAGCUUGCUAGAAGAUGACGAGCGGCGGACGGGUGAGUAAUGCUUGGGAAUAUGCCUUAGUGUGGGGGAUAACUAUUGGAAACGAUAGCUAAUACCGCAUAAUGUCUACGGACCAAAGGGGGGGAUCUUCGGACCUCCCGCUCAUAGAUUAGCCCAAGUGAGAUUAGCUAGUUGGUGAGGUAAUGGCUCACCAAGGCGACGAUCUCUAGCUGGUUUGAGAGGAUGAUC